AGAACGAACGCUGGCGGCAGGCCUCAAACAUGCAAGUCUAGGGGGGUGUAGCAAUACAUCACCGGCGGACGGGUGCGUAACGCGUGGGAAUGUACCUAUUGGUUCGGAACAACUGAGGGAAACUUCAGCUAAUACCGGAUGAGCCCGAAAGGGGAAAGAUUUCUCGCCAAUAGAUCAGCCCGCGUCCGAUUAGCUAGUUGGUGGGGUUAAAGCCUACCAAGGCGACGAUCGGUAGCUGUUCUGAGAGGAAGAUCAGCCACACUGGGACUGAGACACGGCCCAGACUCCUACGGGAGGCAGCAGUUGGGAAUCUUGGACAAUGGGGGAAACCCUGAUCCAGCCAUGCCGCGUGAGUGAUGAAGGCCUUCGGGUUGUAAACUCUUUCGACGGGGACGAUAAUGACGGUACCCGUAGAAGAAGCUCCGGCUAACUUCGUGCCAGCAGCCGC
rnacentral:rRNA from 1 species